UCCCUAGUGGCUCAAACAGUAAAGAAUCUGUCUACAAUACAGGAGACCCAGGUUCAAUCCCUGGAUCAGGAA
rnacentral:tRNA from 1 species